AGUGGCACAACAACCAGUGGCACAACCACAACUAGUGGUACUACGACCAGUGGCACAACUACAACCAGCGGUACAACAACCAGUGGCACAACUACAACUAGUGGUACAACAACCAGUGGCACAACUACAACUAGUGGUACAACAACCAGUGGCAGAACUACGACUAGUGGCACAACUACCAGUGGCAAAACAACAACUAGUGGUACAACAACCAGUGGCACAACUACAACUAGUGGUACAACAACCAGUGGCACAACUACAACUAGUGGUACAACAACCAGUGGCA